rnacentral:rRNA from 1 species
UACAGAGGUCCCAAGCGUUGUUCGGAUUCAUUGGGCGUAAAGGGUGCGUAGGCGGCGCGGUAAGUCGGGUGUGAAAUCUCGGAGCUUAACUCCGAAACUGCAUUCGAUACUGCCGUGCUUGAGGACUGGAGAGGAGACUGGAAUUUACGGUGUAGCGGUGAAAUGCGUAGAUAUUGGGAAGAACACCAGUGGCGAAGGCGGCUCACUGGUCCGAUACUGACGCUGAGGUGCGAAAGCGUGGGGAGCAAACAGG